AGGUAUGAAAUAAUUUCCUAUUGAAGUCAUCUUAACAUGGAACCAGAAUUAAAUCCUAACAACAAUCAUGUGAGCCUGGGGAGGAUCCUUCCCCACGUGAGCCUUCAGGGGAGACUUCAGCCUUGGCCAUCUUCUACAUCUAGAUUCCUGACCAAGAGAAGCUGUGAGUAAUGUGUAUGUGCUUUUCAGCCACUCAGCUGUGUGGGAAUUUGUUAUACAACAAUAGCUAAGUAACACACCUGGCAUUGAAUGUAAUGUGGUAUCCUAGAUUAGAUACUGGAAUAGAAAAGUGACAUUAUUGGAAACCUGAGGAGAACUAUGAAGAAAGUCUGUAGUUCCAUUGAUGGUUUUAUAACACUGUCAAUUUCUCAGUUUUCAUGAAUAGUCUAUGGUUAUAUAAUGUGUUAACAUUCCUUUAAGCUGAAAGGUAUAUGAAACUCUCUGCACUAUAUAUACCUCCUUCUGUAAGUCAAAUAUGAUUUCAAAAUAAUUUUAAAAUAAUAUUUUGGUGCAAAACAAAAACCAACAAAAAGACACAAGAACAUUAGCUUGGUUUCAGGAGAUGGGGUGGGCAAGUAGGGAAAGAACAGCAGUGCAGCUUUCCUAAUCUAUCCACCAUUCGGAACCCAGGUGCACCUGCUUCAGUUAAACACAGUUAGCUCUGGGGACUCUCAUCCAUUUUUGUCUUUGAAAUCAUGCUACUCAUUAUCCACGAACAUUUCAAGUGUCAGUAACCACUUCUUCAGAGAGAGGUGCCUGUUCCUCAUAUAUCCCAGGAUGCCCCAUUUUCAGGCAUUGUCUGGCAGUUUAUUCACAUAAUUCCAGUAAAGCCUUUCUGGAAAAAAUGACUGCUGGACCUUAGAAGCCGAUAUUGCAAAAUGUCAGUGACAGGGAACACAAAUUGUAUUUCUACAAUCAGGAGAGUGUUUUAAUUCCCUUGGUACAGAGAUUUGUUCUUCAACUGAUUAUCAGAUCACUGUGAUAAUUUCUAUUUCUCUUGUCAUGAAUUAUUUGGGACCAUAUAUUCUGUUGCUCUUCACAUCUUGGAAUUAUAUUGUCCAUUUCCAAGGUCAAAGACCACAGAAUAAAUGUCAUCCUGGCAGCAGGUGAGUAGGGCACACAAACAAUGCUUCUAAAUAUGGUGGUUGAUGACAAUGCUUGCUUACUAAGACCUCGAUAUGAAUCUGUGGACAACUGGUUUUUGGCAGGUGAAGUCAUGUGAGUGAUUCAGUAUAUGCUGUGUAUGGCUGGAGAAAGCUGAGUAGAUACAAGAAAAAGCAGUGUGUAACAGAUCUCCCCCCACCAUGCAGUGAUCUAAGAGAUGGACCCAGGCUAAAUGGUGACUCUGCACGUGUUCUGGCUAAACAAAGAAUCUCACAGCAGGAAGAACUGUCCAGCUGUCCCCCACAUAGGUCCCUGCUCAUAGUUCACGGCACUCUGCGGUGUUAGCAUCAGGGUUGUGCCAAAGAACCAUGCCUACAAAGCCUCCCAAGCCAUGAGUCUGCAUGCUGCACUCACACAGACAUAGACAAAGCCAAGACUAUUGCCUUUAUGAUGGUCUGUAAACAUGGGGCAUAUUCUCUAUAGCACAUUGAUAGCUUAUAUGAGAAAAUGAGAUCUUGCAGCCUGGAGACCUAGAGUGGGAGAUAUGACUGACCUCGACCACAUUUUUCACUUCUGAUAUCAGCAUAGAAGUGAUUUAGGUGCUGUUAUUUGAGCAUCUGUACUUUAAGAAACCUUCCACGUCUUCCAAGUUCCAUAUACUUUACUCUUUAAGACAUGACUCCUCUUUUAAAUUUGACAUCUUAAAGGAGGUUUAUUCCAUUUUUUAAAUUUUAACUGAAGAUACUAUAGUACAGUACUUAAAUGACAGAUCUUCUGUUCCUCUUCAUUUUAAUGCAUACUUUUUGAUCUAUUAUGAUGCAUACUGUGAAUAUUCUGCCCACCAAUAAAUGGACCAAAAAAUGGCCAGAGUGACACAUAUGAGCCACAGUUAGACCUGGACAUGAGUUAUGAGGACUACCACAUGGUGGUCACAAUAAUUGAGAUCUGAGUUCUCAAAUUUAAAGGAAAACAGGCACUAUACACAAAACUCUACUGACAUAUUAUCAUGGACACAAAGGACAGAGUGCUGAGCACUGAGUGCCCAAACAAGUGCUUUAACAGCAUGGAAGGCAUGAUUUCCCACAAUAUACUAAGCCACUAAAUUCACAAAGGCCACCACAAUUCUAAAAAAAGAUGUCACUGCAAACAAACCCAAGUCUUAGACCACAAUAUAAGACAAACAUCCCAACAUGCUGUCUCCACACUCUAGCCUGAUUAGGAGUUGUAGUUCAGUGGAUGAAUGGCCCAUAUAUUUAACAUCAUUACUUCAUGUUCAUGCAAUUCAACCUUCCUGCAGUCUAAAACUAUAGGUGAAAUUUCAGUCAAAGUCCUAAAUUAUGAAUUGUAUGAGUUUCUUCUUCACUUAAUAUUUUCCCAGGGAAACAGGAAAACUAAUUUCAAUAUCCAAGUGUCCAAAAGUAGAGUUUGCCAGAGUAGCAAGGGGGCAGAACAAAGCAUUUUAUGAAGAUCACAAUGCAUCUGCUUCUACAGUGCCUAUGUAUUAUCACCAUUUGUGUGAUUAAAAGGGUGAAUGAGAAUGAAGAAAAACAGAGAUCAAGAAUGUUAUAGAUUAAAGAAUUGAAUUUGUAAUGUAGCUUGCAGGGAUCAUUGCUUAUAUUACUAACUUUAGGACACAAUUUUUUUAAUAUAGAUUUUCCUUAGUCUUUAGAAAACUAGCACUUCAGGAAAAAUUUCAAGUGUCUCUCUACAAUUUAUAUCUUCCUCAUCAACAGAUUUCUUGAACCAUAGUUUAUAAAACAAUUACAGCACUUUACUAAUAAGUCUAAUAUUUCUAAUAACUAAGUAGAAUGUAAAUAGAAUUGUUAAAUUAAUGUGAAAAUAUAUACAACAAUGUUUACUUAAUAACAGACUAAAAUAUAGCAGAUUAGCCACCAUGAUUUUUUCUUUUUCUUUUUGAGUUGGAGUUUGCUGUUUCGCCCAGGCUGGAGUGAAGUGGCGAGAUCUCCCCUCACUGCAACCUCCGCCCCCGGGGUUCAAGUGAUUCUCCUGCCUCAGCCACCACCAUUUAACACUGAGAAGUGGGCAGUCACAGAGAAAAAGUUUAGAAUAGUUCACCAGUGAAGUCAUCUCAACCAGCACAGGGCCUUGACUCCUAACAACAAUCACACGAACUUGGAAGAGGAGCCUUCCCCAACUGAACCUUCGCUUGAGACCUCGUCCUUGGCCAUCCUCUACAUCUGGAUUCAUGAUACAGAGAAACUUGAGUAAUGAUGACACUAGCAGUCCAGCCUGCAUGGAUGCUGACAUGGAUGCUGUCUCCCAUUCUUACCACUGGAUGGGAAGAAAUGCUAGAUGCAAUCCAGCCAGUCUGUACUCGACUGUCAGUUCCAUCUUCUCAACUCACAGUGUCUUCCAAAGUCCGUGCCACACCACAGCCUGGAACAUCUCCCAAGGUUUCAAAUAAUUCAUCAGUGAAUUCUUCUCAACCUGGUCAAUCAUGUGAACUUAGAAGAUGAUUCCUCCCCAGCUGAUCCUCAGGUGAGACAUCAGCCUUGGCCAUCAUCUACAUCUGGAUUCCUGACCCAGAGAAACUGGAACACUAAGACCCAUUCUUCUUCUCAAGUAUCCAAAAAUAAAGUUGAUCCAAGUAAGAAGUGGACAGCAUAAAAGAUUGUAUGGAAGCUAUAAUGCAUCUACAUCUGCAGUAACUAAUCAUAAAAUGAUUUGUAUGAUCAUUCUUCACAUGAUUAGAAUUACUAUGGGAAAGAAGAAAAAGAAAUGCCUCUCUGGAUGGUGACUAUAACCUAUAGCCUUGCCCAAUAUGACUCAGGAUUUGGUACUGGCUGUGCCUUUCAUGGGAUGCUUACUUAUCCUGGUCGAUGGCCUAAAGCCCAACCGUCCAGCUUAUAUCCAGAUCCUUUGGCAUUUGAGAGUUGCUUUGUGUAUACGGUCCUUUAACGGAGCAAAUGGCCAGCCAGGAAACCAAACAACACGGAGAUGCAUUGACACCCUUCUUCAAUCCAGAGGAUGGGCCAUCAACUCACAAAAGUACAAGGCCUGGAACCAGCUGCAAAGUUCCUAUGGAUCACUUGGCCAGGUUAGAGUUCAGUGGUGUGAUCUUGGCUUACCUCAACCUCUGCCUCCCAGGUUCAAGGACUUCUCUUGCCUCAGCCUCCCAAGUGGCUGGGAUUAUAGGUAUGUGCCAC
rnacentral:lncRNA from 1 species